rnacentral:rRNA from 1 species
GUUGUAUGGUUAAGUGACUAAGCGUACACGGUGGAUGCCUUGGCAGUCAGAGGCGAUGAAAGACGUAGUAACUUGCGAUAAGCCCAGAUUAGGUAGUAACAACCAUUUGAGUCUGGGAUUUCUGAAUGGGGAAACCCACGUGCAUAAGCACGUAUCCUUACCUGAAUACAUAGGGUAAGGAGGCGAACCGGGGGAACUGAAACAUCUAAGUACCCCGAGGAAAAGAAAUCAACCGAGAUUCCGAAAGUAGCGGCGAGCGAAAUUGGACUAGCCCUUAAGCUUUACACGCGUUAGACGAACGGUCUGGAAAGUCCGACGAUACAGGGUGAUAGUCCCGUAGUUGACGACGUGUGUUCAGUGAAAUCGAGUAGGGCGGGACACGUGAUAUCCUGUCUGAAUAUGGGGGGACCAUCCUCCAAGGCUAAAUACUACUGACUGACCGAUAGUGAACCAGUACCGUGAGGGAAAGGCGAAAAGAACCCCUGUGAGGGGAGUGAAAUAGAACCUGAAACCGUGUACGUACAAGCAGUAGGAGCAGGCUUUGUCCUGUGACUGCGUACCUUUUGUAUAAUGGGUCAGCGACUUAUAUUCAGUGGCAAGGUUAACCAUCUAGGGGAGCCGUAGGGAAACCGAGUCUUAACUGGGCGUUCAGUCUCUGGAUAUAGACCCGAAACCAGGUGAUCUAGCCAUGGGCAGGUUGAAGGUUGAGUAACAUCAACUGGAGGACCGAACCGACUAAUGUUGAAAAAUUAGCGGAUGACUUGUGGCUAGGGGUGAAAGGCCAAUCAAACCUGGAGAUAGCUGGUUCUCCCCGAAAGCUAUUUAGGUAGCGCCUCGGACGAAUACUACUGGGGGUAGAGCACUGUUAAGGCUAGGGGGUCAUCCCGACUUACCAACCCUUUGCAAACUCCGAAUACCAGUAAGUACUAUCCGGGAGACACACGGCGGGUGCUAACGUCCGUCGUGGAGAGGGAAACAACCCAGACCGCCAGCUAAGGUCCCAAAUUACUACUAAGUGGGAAACGAUGUGGGAAGGCUCAGACAGCCAGGAUGUUGGCUUAGAAGCAGCCAUCAUUUAAAGAAAGCGUAAUAGCUCACUGGUCGAGUCGGCCUGCGCGGAAGAUGUAACGGGGCUAAGUAGUAAACCGAAGCUGCGGCAAUGUGCUUUUGCACAUUGGGUAGGGGAGCGUUCUGUAAGCGGUUGAAGGUGUGUGGUAACGCAUGCUGGACGUAUCAGAAGUGCGAAUGCUGACAUGAGUAACGAUAAAGGGGGUGAAAAACCUCCUCGCCGGAAGACCAAGGGUUCCUGUCCAACGUUAAUCGGGGCAGGGUAAGUCGACCCCUAAGGCGAGGCCGAAAGGCGUAGUCGAUGGGAAACGGGUUAAUAUUCCCGUACUUCUUACAAUUGCGAUGGGGGGACGGAGAAGGCUAGGUGGGCCUGGCGACGGUUGUCCAGGUUCAAGUGCGUAGGCUUAAGAGUUAGGUAAAUCCGGCUCUUUUUAAGGCUGAGACACGACGUCGAGCAUCUACGGAUGUGAAGUCAUUGAUGCCAUGCUUCCAGGAAAAGCCUCUAAGCUUCAGAUUGUAAGGAAUCGUACCCCAAACCGACACAGGUGGUCGGGUAGAGAAUACCAAGGCGCUUGAGAGAACUCGGGUGAAGGAACUAGGCAAAAUGGUACCGUAACUUCGGGAGAAGGUACGCUCUCGACGGUGAAGUCCCUCGCGGAUGGAGCUAUUGAGAGUCGCAGAUACCAGGUGGCUGCAACUGUUUAUUAAAAACACAGCACUGUGCAAAAUCGUAAGAUGACGUAUACGGUGUGACGCCUGCCCGGUGCCGGAAGGUUAAUUGAUGGGGUUUAGACUUCGGUCGAAGCUCUUGAUCGAAGCCCCGGUAAACGGCGGCCGUAACUAUAACGGUCCUAAGGUAGCGAAAUUCCUUGUCGGGUAAGUUCCGACCUGCACGAAUGGCGUAAUGAUGGCCACGCUGUCUCCACCCGAGACUCAGUGAAAUUGAAAUCGCUGUGAAGAUGCAGUGUACCCGCGGCUAGACGGAAAGACCCCGUGAACCUUUACUACAGCUUGGCACUGAACAUUGACCCUACAUGUGUAGGAUAGGUGGGAGGCUUUGAAGCACGUACGCCAGUAUGUGUGGAGCCGUCCUUGAAAUACCACCCUUGUAGUGUUGAUGUUCUAACGUCGACCCCUUAUCGGGGUUGCGGACAGUGCCUGGUGGGUAGUUUGACUGGGGCGGUCUCCUCCCAAAGAGUAACGGAGGAGCACGAAGGUGGGCUAAUCACGGUUGGACAUCGUGAGGUUAGUGCAAUGGCAUAAGCCCGCUUGACUGCGAGAAUGACAAUUCGAGCAGGUGCGAAAGCAGGUCAUAGUGAUCCGGUGGUUCUGAAUGGAAGGGCCAUCGCUCAACGGAUAAAAGGUACUCCGGGGAUAACAGGCUGAUACCGCCCAAGAGUUCAUAUCGACGGCGGUGUUUGGCACCUCGAUGUCGGCUCAUCACAUCCUGGGGCUGAAGUCGGUCCCAAGGGUAUGGCUGUUCGCCAUUUAAAGUGGUACGCGAGCUGGGUUUAGAACGUCGUGAGACAGUUCGGUCCCUAUCUGCCGUGGGCGUUGGAAGAUUGAAGGGGGCUGCUCCUAGUACGAGAGGACCGGAGUGGACGAACCUCUGGUGUUCGGGUUGUGUCGCCAGACGCAUUGCCCGGUAGCUAAGUUCGGAAUCGAUAACCGCUGAAAGCAUCUAAGCGGGAAGCGAGCCCUGAGAUGAGUCUUCCCUGAUACUUUAAGUAUCCUAAAGGGUUGUCGGAGACUACGACGUUGAUAGGUCAGGUGUGUAAGUGCUGUGAGGCAUUGAGCUAACUGAUACUAAUUGCCCGUGAGGCUUAACCAUACAACACCCAAGGGGUUU